rnacentral:rRNA from 1 species
GACGAACGCUGGCGGCGUGCUUAACACAUGCAAGUCGAACGGAAAGGCCCUGCUUUUGUGGGGUGCUCGAGUGGCGAACGGGUGAGUAACACGUGAGUAACCUGCCCUUGACUUUGGGAUAACUUCAGGAAACUGGGGCUAAUACCGGAUAGGAGCUCCUGCUGCAUGGUGGGGGUUGGAAAGUUUCGGCGGUUGGGGAUGGACUCGCGGCUUAUCAGCUUGUUGGUGGGGUAGUGGCUUACCAAGGCUUUGACGGGUAGCCAGCCUGAGAGGGUGACCGGCCACAUUGGGACUGAGAUACGGCCCAGACUCCUACGGGAGGCAGCAGUGGGGAAUAUUGCACAAUGGGCGGAAGCCUGAUGCAGCAACGCCGCGUGCGGGAUGACGGCCUUCGGGUUGUAAACCGCUUUCGCCUGUGACGAAGCGUGAGUGACGGUAAUGGGUAAAGAAGCACCGGCUAACUACGUG